rnacentral:siRNA from 1 species
CUGCCAAAAUUCUGUGGCUGC